UGGGGAAUAUUGCACAAUGGGCGCAAGCCUGAUGCAGCCAUGCCGCGUGUAUGAAGAAGGCCUUCGGGUUGUAAAGUACUUUCAGCGGGGAGGAAGGGAGUAAAGUUAAUACCUUUGCUCAUUGACGUUACCCGCAGAAGAAGCACCGGCUAACUCCGUGCCGGCAGCCGCGGUAAUACGGAGGGUGCAAGCGUUAAUCGGAAUUACUGGGCGUAAAGCGCACGCAGGCGGUUUGUUAAGUCAGAUGUGAAAUCCCCGGGCUCAACCUGGGAACUGCAUCUGAUACUGGCAAGCUUGAGUCUCGUAGAGGGGGGUAGAAUUCCAGGUGUAGCGGUGAAAUGCGUAGAGAUCUGGAGGAAUACCGGUGGCGAAGGCGGCCCCCUGGACGAAGACUGACGCUCAGGUGCGAAAGCGUGGGGAGCAAACAGG
rnacentral:rRNA from 1 species